rnacentral:rRNA from 1 species
ACUCAAAUGAAUUGACGGGGGCCCGCACAAGCGGUGGAUUAUGUGGUUUAAUUCGAAGCAACGCGAAAAACCUUACCUGGGCUUGAACUCCUACGAACGUGGCAGAAACGUCAUGGUGUCCGCAAGGAAAUGUAGUGAGAGGUGCUGCAUGGCUGUCGUCAGCUCGUGUUGUGAAAUGUUGGGUUAAGUCUCGCAACGAGCGCAACCCCUAUGAUUAGUUGCCAGCAUUAAGUUGGGCACUCUAAUCAGACUGCCUGGGUUAACCAGGAGGAAGGUGGGGAUGACGUCAAGUCCUCAUGGCCCUUAUGUCCAGGGCUACACACGUAAUACAAUGGCACACACAAAGGGAAGCGAACUCGCGAGGGGGAGCAAAUCUCAAAAAGUGUGUCUCAGUCCGGAUUGAAGUCUGCAACUCGACUUCAUGAAGUUGGAAUCGCUAGUAAUCGCGGAUCAGCACGCCGCGGUGAAUACGUUCCCGGGCCUUGUACACACCGCCCGU